ensembl:snoRNA
AAGACAAAUGAUCUGUUCAUUCAAAUGCAUUUUUGUGUAAAUACAGAAAAUGUUGGCUAUAGCAAUGUCAUAUUAAAAGCCCAAAGGAUGUUGAAGUCAUUAAAAUUUAUAUAAAUGGCUACAGUA